CAUACGUAUAAAAUUCGUACAAAUCAGGCAGGCACCCUACGUCGCUGAGAGAACAGACCCAAGAGCCUCUUUGUCUCCUGUCACUGUACCUCUCCUGGGCGGUUUCUGUUACCAAAAAGCGCUUCUUUUUCGAAAACUCCCCUCUCUCGCUCUCGCUCUCGCUCUCGCAUAUCCCUCCCUCCCUCCCUCAAUUUCACGCGCUCUCUCCAUUUCUGCACAACGAACUAAACUACAUCGCCCUUCCUCGAUCUUCCCGCUUCUCGAGCUACUUCAAUCAUCCAUCUCCGAUCGAACUUCACCCUCGAUCUUCCACUUCUGUGAAACAAGUCAAGGAUUCGAGGAUUUUUGUUUUUGAGGAAUUAGGGUUUUGUUGAGAAAGAAGCCAUGGAUAUUGAUAGAGUAGCAGGAGAAGAAGUUUGUUGUUUGGACACAGAACAGCUGCAGCUACCAGAAGUUUCUUCUUUUGUGCUUAAAGAAAACCCUCAACUUCCCGAGCUAUUGUUCUCUCAGUGGCUUUCGCUUUCUGACACCACCCGAUUGGUAAAAACUUUAAUUGAUGAUGCAAAAGCUGGCAAUCCCAUUAACAUCCCUGGUAUCUCUGCUAAUGUUAGUGUUGGUGGGGUCAAUUCAUUGCCUUCCAUGUUUCCUGCUGGCAGUGCACCUCCGAUUUCACCAAGAAGUUCAUCUGGUUCUCCACGCACAUCUAAGCAGAAAACCAGUCCCUCGUCUUUAUGUUCUCCAUUAAAAUUAGUUAGGGAAUCAGAAUGGGAAGUCAUACCUCAGUUUUAUUUUCGAAAUGGUCCUCCAGCAGCAAGUGCACUCAAAGAACAAUGUCUUUCUAGAAUUAAUCAUCUUUUCAACAACGAUCUGGAUGGAUUGCUCCUUGAUGAAUUUAAACCUGUUACAAAGAUAGUUUGCAAGUUACCAUCCUUCUUUUCCGAUGUGCUUUUUAGAAAGAUUGAUGUUGACUGCACCGGGAUGGUGACCAGGGAUGCAUUUGUUAAAUACUGGGUGAAUAGCAACAUGCUGACGCUGGACACAGCAACUCAAGUAUUCAAUAUUCUAAAACAACCAGACUGCAGAUACCUUUCUCAGUCUGAUUUCAAACCUAUUCUCCGAGAACUUCUGGCAACUCAUUCCGGGUUGGAAUUCUUACAGAAUACUCCUGAAUUUCAAGAAAGAUACGCGGAAACUGUCAUAUACAGAAUAUUUUACUACAUCAAUAGAUCAGGAAAUGGCCGUCUUACACUCAGGGAGCUGAAACGUGGAAAUCUUAUUGCUGCAAUGCAACAUGCAGAUGAAGAAGAAGACAUUAACAAAGUUAUAAGGUACUUCUCGUACGAACAUUUCUAUGUAAUAUACUGUAAGUUUUGGGAGCUGGAUACAGACCAUGAUUUCUUUAUCGACAAAGAGAAUCUCAUCAGAUAUGGUAAUCAUUCCCUUACAUACAGGAUUCUUGAUAGAAUAUUUUCACAGGUGCCAAGGAAGUUUAAAAGCAAUGUUGAAGGGAAGAUGUGUUAUGAAGAUUUUGUUUAUUUCAUGCUCUCAGAGGAAGACAAAUCAUCUCAGCCCAGUCUUGAAUACUGGUUCAAGUGCUUAGAUUUAGAUGGAAAUGGCGUGUUGACACCCAAUGAAUUGCAAUACUUCUAUGAGGAGCAGCUGCACCGUAUGGAAUGCAUGGCCCAGGAACCUGUGCUAUUUGAGGAUAUCUUGUGUCAAAUAGUUGACAUGAUUGCACCAGAGAGGGAAGGUUACAUCACACUGCGUGAUUUGAAAGGAUGCAAACUUUCAGGAAAUGUUUUCAAUAUUCUUUUCAACCUCAAUAAGUUUGUAGCUUUUGAAAGCCGUGAUCCUUUUCUUAUUCGCCAGGAGCGUGAGGAACCAACUUUAACAGAGUGGGAUCGCUUUGCACAUAGAGAGUAUAUCAGGCUUUCAAUGGAAGAGGAUGUUGAAGAUGUCUCAAAUGGGAGUGCAGAAGUUUGGGAUGAAUCAUUCGAGGCUCCUUUUUAGGUUAAUGAGUUGAGGUUUAUUUAGAUGUCUAGAAUGAGGUAGACUUCCCUGAGAAGAAAGAUCAAAAUUUUGCAUCACCUUUAUUUCAUUACCCACAGCAUCUCUUUGUUGCUACUUUGGAUAUGGAAUGAAGAUUUGGUACUUGGACUCCUCAGUGGAACUUGUCAAAUCUGCACUGUUGGUGAUACAUUUCAAGCUUGGUCCUUACUUUGGCUUGCUCCAGUAGGCAACAUGGCUGCGUUUGUGCGAUAACAUUCAUAUGCUCUCUAGAGUUCCACAGUGAUUUCCAGGAUGCCAGAUGCUUUAUUGGGAGGGAGAGAUGGCUGUCAUCUGGUUAUUAUUCAUCACCCAGGUAACAAAAGUUCAUAUAAUUGUUAUUGGGUGGCAAUUUUGCUUCCAGGAAAGCAGCUCCAUUUCUGGAUGAUUUUUCUCGAGCUUCUGCUCUUUAUGGGAAAGGUGGCUGGUAUGCUUGUCCUUUAAGCUUGUAACGACAUAUAUUUGUGGAUCAAAUGCUCUCCUCGGUUCAUUCCUGCACCCUUACCUCUCUCUCUCCCUCUCCCUUUGUUACUGUUUAUAUGUUCUUUUAUUGGAUUUUACGAGGAGGGACAAAAUUUCACGGGGAGAAAUUGGGUUGUUAAUCAUGUUGUUGUGGCAGUUUUUUGGUGGGAGCUGUGCAAAGACAAGCUCUCUUCCGUCAUAUGUAGCACUGAAACAAAGAGCACACGCGUCCAUUACUGCUCUCUGCCAGCAAAAACAUGUUUGCAAUGUCAAGUAGUAACUUUAUAACUA